rnacentral:rRNA from 1 species
GACGAACCGAGCGAACGUUGUUCGGAAUCACUAGGCUUAAAGGGCGCGUAGGCGGGCUGUCAAGUCUGGGGUGAAAUCCCGCGGCUCAACCGUGGGAACUGCCUCAGAUACUGACGGCCUCGAGGGAGGUAGGGGCGAGCGGAACUGUGAGUGGAGCGGUGAAAUGCGUUGAUAUUCACAGGAACUCCGGUGGCGAAGGCGGCUCGCUGGACCUUUUCUGACGCUGAGGCGCGAAAGCUAGGGGAGCAAACGGGG